rnacentral:tRNA from 1 species
AAUAAGAUGGCUGAGGUGAAGGCGGUAAAUUGUAAAUUUUCUAACAAGUGGAAACUUUCUUAUUA